CUAACUUCAAUACUCAGUUAUCAUAAUUAUAUAAUUUUAUUAUCCAACCAGUUAUUUUAAAACUUGGUUGUGGAUGUACUGUACUUUGAGGACUAUUUAAUUUCAAAUUUCAGUAACUUUUUAGUAUUGGGGAUGCGGGAGUGUUUGUUUUCAAAACGGGAAGUUUUUCUCACCAUUGCGGAACUCAAAACAUGAAGAGAUGUUGCUCAUCUUUACCCCGUUCUCCCUCCAAAAGACCCCUGACGGACUGGCUGUGGGAAUAAGUCCAGGCUGUGUGAUAAAGGAAGCUGUUGUCUAAAGGUCCCCUACCUCAUUUGUUGCAGAAACUGGAAGUCAUGGAUGGGGAAGGAGGGAGUUGACCACUGUCAAGGAUUGCUGCAUCACCAUCCACAACUACUGUCCAGAGGAGAAAACAACAGGGAACAGGAGGGAAAGAAAAGAUUAAUCCGCCCUUUCCCAGUGUCAAAAGCCUCAACCCAUUUAUCUGGUUCCAAAACCAGCUUCCUGUUUCCUUGACAGGGCUACAUAGAUCAUGGAGGGCAUAAUUUGGCCUGCAGAAAUGCUAUUGGGGGAGAUAACGAAAAGAACCCAACCUGCCUUUAUCAGCAAAGGGAUAAUUAACAAGUCUACAGGCAAACAAACAGCACUUUUCUAGCCAAGCAUACAUACUACAGCAUCAGCCAGACUAGAAAAUAUCACAGUACUACCAAACUGCAGCAAGAUUCAUAAUAUCCAGUCAAAACAUAUUAGUCAAAAAGGGCCACAUCUUGAGAUUAAUGGCAACAUAAU